UGGGCUCACAGUUUUUUACGA
rnacentral:piRNA from 1 species